ensembl:Mt_tRNA
AAGAAAGUCAUAAGGGUUAUGUGGUUGGCUUGAAACCAAUUAAUGGGGGUUCGAUUCCUUCCUUUCUUG